rnacentral:rRNA from 1 species
AUUGAACGCUGGCGGCAUGCUUUACGCAUGCAAGUCGGACGGCAGCGCGGGCUUCGGCCUGGCGGCGAGUGGCGAACGGGUGAGUAAUACAUCGGAACGUGCCCAGUAGUGGGGGAUAGCUCGGCGAAAGCCGGAUUAAUACCGCAUACGACCUGAGGGUGAAAGCGGGGGACUUUAGGGCCUCGCGCUAUUGGAGCGGCCGAUGGCAGAUUAGCUAGUUGGUGGGGUAAAGGCCUACCAAGGCGACGAUCUGUAGCUGGUCUGAGAGGACGACCAGCCACACUGGGACUGAGACACGGCCCAGACUCCUACGGGAGGCAGCAGUGGGGAAUUUUGGACAAUGGGCGCAAGCCUGAUCCAGCAAUGCCGCGUGUGUGAUGAAGGCCUUCGGGUUGUAAAGCACUUUUGGCAGGAACGAAAAGUGCCGUGCUAAUACCACGGUACGAUGACGGUACCUGCAGAAUAAGCACCGGCUAACUACGUG